rnacentral:rRNA from 1 species
CUUAUGAUGGCGACCGGCGCACGGGUGCGUAACGCGUAUGCAACCUACCUUUUACAGGGGCAUAACACUGAGAAAUUGGUACUAAUUCCCCAUAAUAUCUGAGACGGCAUCGUUUUGGGUUGAAAACUCCGGUGGUAAAAGAUGGGCAUGCGUUGUAUUAGCUAGUUGGUGAGGUAACGGCUCACCAAGGCGACGAUACGUAGGGGGACUGAGAGGUUAACCCCCCACAUUGGUACUGAGACACGGACCAAACUCCUACGGGAGGCAGCAG